UAAGGCAUUUUUCUUUAGUGUUAUUUUAGUUUUUAUUUCAGGUGACCACCAUGGGACCAUUUUUCUGAUACGGCCGGGUUUUGAUUUAGGGAUACUUCCUUCGGCGGCUUCUAAAAUCGAACUGGUUAGAGAUUGAAGGUUUAAGGCACUCUGAUUUGGAGGGACGAGUUGUAGCCUAAAACGUUUCCAAUCAGCUUGUUCAAUUUUAAAUUUUGCUAUCGUUCUCAACGGGCGAUUAUCGCCUUGGAUUGUGAUAAUUAUGGGAAAGUGGUCACUGUGAUACAGAUCAUUUUCCACCUCCCAUUUUAUGCUGGUAUGCAAGGUCGGUGAGCAUACCGACACAUCGAUGGAGUCAAAAUUUCCCGAUCGGAUAUUAAAAAACGUUGCCGAAUCGUCGUUUAAAAGGCUUAGGUUUUUAUUUUCAAUUAAAUUUAAUAGUUCUUUGCCUCGAGCGUCGUUUGAACCGGAACCCCAAACGGCGUUAUGAGAAUUGAAAUCUCCGACAAGGAUAAAAGGUGUCGUAAGCUGAUUUAUAAUUUUUUCGAUUUCCUCAACCUCGUAAUUUGUAUUUGGAACGUAUAUAUUGCAAAUCGUAAAAGAUCUGCUUAUUUCGAGUUGUAUUGCUACGGCUUGAUACUCUGUAUCUAGUUCGACUCGUUUGUAAGGAGUACCUUUUCGUAAAAGGAGAGCCACUCCCCCACAGGCUCUUGCAGGUUUUAGAUGUGUUUCUUGCAGGGCAACACAUAAUGGCGUAUGUCUUUGAAUCAAUAGUUUCAACUCGUUUAAGUUAUUGGAUAGUCCCCGACAAUUCCAUUGGAUAAUUUUGGUAUCCAUUACAAAGAUAAGAUUAAAAGAAACAACAAUGGAAUAAAUAAUAUUAAUAAAUAACAGAUCAUAGUGUAUAAGGGACGACUACAAACAAAUAACAAUUAAUUUAAGACAGAUACAAGAGACAGAUAUAUCACAGAUUUGGUAAUUCAAUACAGAUUGUAGGUAGAUUAUCACAGUAAAUAUAUCACGUAUGGGUAUCAACACUAGAGAGAGAUUUUCCUAGGUUUGCCCUUUGGCCAUCCUUUUUUCUUCUUUUGUUGAAGAAUUUGUUUUCUCUCUAUAUCUAAGGCUUCUUCAUCUAAUAUUGGCGAAGAUGGGGUUGAACUAUCCUCAUCUCGCUUCCUCUUAUCAACAGGAUCCGCGAUUGUCACAUGACAGUCCUGGAACUUCCAUGAGGUAAUUCUAUCGGAGACGGAGAUACGGUUGGUUUCGGCAUUGAUUGUUUAACAUACUCAACUAAGAUACCAGGUUGGGUUGAGUAUCAGUGGUUAGGCGUGUAGCAACAUUUGAGUACGAGUUGUUUGAAGUAACAGCCGAUCCAAGCAUUCGUUUUGCCUCCAGAUAAGACACCUUACGGGUAACCUUUAUCUCUUGAAUUUGUAACUCUCUUUUAUACACUUCGCAAGUUCUAGAGUUUGCAGGAUGUGUACCGUUGCAAUUUAGGCAUACGACUGGAUCGUCACAUGGAGAACCCGGGUGUAAGGAUUUUCCACAGACACAUACUUGUUCCUUCUCACAUUUUAGUGUUGUGUGUCCGAAACGUUGACACUUGUAACAUCUCAUUGGUUGUGGAACAUAUGGUCUCACUUUCAACGUAUAAAAAGCCGCAUUAAUCAC